rnacentral:rRNA from 1 species
UUAAGCGACUAAGCGUACACGGUGGAUGCCCUGGCAGUCAGAGGCGAUGAAGGACGUGCUAAUCUGCGAUAAGCGUCGGUAAGGUGAUAUGAACCGUUAUAACCGGCGAUUUCCGAAUGGGGAAACCCAGUGUGAUUCGUCACACUAUCAUUAACUGAAUCCAUAGGUUAAUGAGGCGAACCGGGGGAACUGAAACAUCUAAGUACCCCGAGGAAAAGAAAUCAACCGAGAUUCCCCCAGUAGCGGCGAGCGAACGGGGAGCAGCCCAGAGCCUGAAUCAGUGUGUGUGUUAGUGGAAGCGUCUGGAAAGGCGCGCGAUACAGGGUGACAGCCCCGUACACAAAAAUGCACAUACUGUGAGCUCGAUGAGUAGGGCGGGACACGUGGUAUCCUGUCUGAAUAUGGGGGGACCAUCCUCCAAGGCUAAAUACUCCUGACUGACCGAUAGUGAACCAGUACCGUGAGGGAAAGGCGAAAAGAACCCCGGCGAGGGGAGUGAAAAAGAACCUGAAACCGUGUACGUACAAGCAGUGGGAGCACGCUUAGGCGUGUGACUGCGUACCUUUUGUAUAAUGGGUCAGCGACUUAUAUUCUGUAGCAAGGUUAACCGAAUAGGGGAGCCGAAGGGAAACCGAGUCUUAACUGGGCGUUAAGUUGCAGGGUAUAGACCCGAAACCCGGUGAUCUAGCCAUGGGCAGGUUGAAGGUUGGGUAACACUAACUGGAGGACCGAACCGACUAAUGUUGAAAAAUUAGCGGAUGACUUGUGGCUGGGGGUGAAAGGCCAAUCAAACCGGGAGAUAGCUGGUUCUCCCCGAAAGCUAUUUAGGUAGCGCCUCGUGAAUUCAUCUCCGGGGGUAGAGCACUGUUUCGGCAAGGGGGUCAUCCCGACUUACCAACCCGAUGCAAACUGCGAAUACCGGAGAAUGUUAUCACGGGAGACACACGGCGGGUGCUAACGUCCGUCGUGAAGAGGGAAACAACCCAGACCGCCAGCUAAGGUCCCAAAGUCAUGGUUAAGUGGGAAACGAUGUGGGAAGGCCCAGACAGCCAGGAUGUUGGCUUAGAAGCAGCCAUCAUUUAAAGAAAGCGUAAUAGCUCACUGGUCGAGUCGGCCUGCGCGGAAGAUGUAACGGGGCUAAACCAUGCACCGAAGCUGCGGCAGCGACGCUUAUGCGUUGUUGGGUAGGGGAGCGUUCUGUAAGCCUGCGAAGGUGUGCUGUGAGGCAUGCUGGAGGUAUCAGAAGUGCGAAUGCUGACAUAAGUAACGAUAAAGCGGGUGAAAAGCCCGCUCGCCGGAAGACCAAGGGUUCCUGUCCAACGUUAAUCGGGGCAGGGUGAGUCGACCCCUAAGGCGAGGCCGAAAGGCGUAGUCGAUGGGAAACAGGUUAAUAUUCCUGUACUUGGUGUUACUGCGAAGGGGGGACGGAGAAGGCUAUGUUGGCCGGGCGACGGUUGUCCCGGUUUAAGCGUGUAGGCUGGUUUUCCAGGCAAAUCCGGAAAAUCAAGGCUGAGGCGUGAUGACGAGGCACUACGGUGCUGAAGCAACAAAUGCCCUGCUUCCAGGAAAAGCCUCUAAGCAUCAGGUAACAUCAAAUCGUACCCCAAACCGACACAGGUGGUCAGGUAGAGAAUACCAAGGCGCUUGAGAGAACUCGGGUGAAGGAACUAGGCAAAAUGGUGCCGUAACUUCGGGAGAAGGCACGCUGAUAUGUAGGUGAAGCGACUUGCUCGUGGAGCUGAAAUCAGUCGAAGAUACCAGCUGGCUGCAACUGUUUAUUAAAAACACAGCACUGUGCAAACACGAAAGUGGACGUAUACGGUGUGACGCCUGCCCGGUGCCGGAAGGUUAAUUGAUGGGGUCAGCGCAAGCGAAGCUCUUGAUCGAAGCCCCGGUAAACGGCGGCCGUAACUAUAACGGUCCUAAGGUAGCGAAAUUCCUUGUCGGGUAAGUUCCGACCUGCACGAAUGGCGUAAUGAUGGCCAGGCUGUCUCCACCCGAGACUCAGUGAAAUUGAACUCGCUGUGAAGAUGCAGUGUACCCGCGGCAAGACGGAAAGACCCCGUGAACCUUUACUAUAGCUUGACACUGAACAUUGAGCCUUGAUGUGUAGGAUAGGUGGGAGGCUUUGAAGUGUGGACGCCAGUCUGCAUGGAGCCGGCCUUGAAAUACCACCCUUUAAUGUUUGAUGUUCUAACGUGGACCCGUAAUCCGGGUUGCGGACAGUGUCUGGUGGGUAGUUUGACUGGGGCGGUCUCCUCCUAAAGAGUAACGGAGGAGCACGAAGGUUGGCUAAUCCUGGUCGGACAUCAGGAGGUUAGUGCAAUGGCAUAAGCCAGCUUGACUGCGAGCGUGACGGCGCGAGCAGGUGCGAAAGCAGGUCAUAGUGAUCCGGUGGUUCUGAAUGGAAGGGCCAUCGCUCAACGGAUAAAAGGUACUCCGGGGAUAACAGGCUGAUACCGCCCAAGAGUUCAUAUCGACGGCGGUGUUUGGCACCUCGAUGUCGGCUCAUCACAUCCUGGGGCUGAAGUAGGUCCCAAGGGUAUGGCUGUUCGCCAUUUAAAGUGGUACGCGAGCUGGGUUUAGAACGUCGUGAGACAGUUCGGUCCCUAUCUGCCGUGGGCGCUGGAGAACUGAGGGGGGCUGCUCCUAGUACGAGAGGACCGGAGUGGACGCAUCACUGGUGUUCGGGUUGUCAUGCCAAUGGCACUGCCCGGUAGCUAAAUGCGGAAGAGAUAAGUGCUGAAAGCAUCUAAGCACGAAACUUGCCCCGAGAUGAGUUCUCCCUGACCCUUUAAGGGUCCUGAAGGAACGUUGAAGACGACGACGUUGAUAGGCCGGGUGUGUAAGCGCAGCGAUGCGUUGAGCUAACCGGUACUAAUGAACCGUGAGGCUUAACCUU